ACUGAAAGAACAAAAAGGUUUUUUCUUUUUUUCUUUUCUUUUCUUCUCCUCUCUCUUCUCUCUCCGGGGAUAAGUAGGUAUUGUUCUUCAGAGAAAUCUAAAAUCUCCUCUAAUCUGAAAAUCAACAUCUUAUAUAAAAACGAUUAAUCAAUCACCCGGGGUUUUCAUCAUUCUCAAAACCUCAAAACCAGAAAUGUCAAUGUAUCACUAUAAAUCCUGUUCUUCGUAGCCCUAGAAAUUGAUUUUUUUCCCUGAAUCCCUAACAACCAAUUUAAUUUAUUGAGCAAGGUUGUAGCAAUCUUGUUGAUUCUUAUCAGGUGUAGAUUUGUGUUUGUAUGAAGAUAGAUGUAGAUGUAAUGUAGAUGAUUUUAGGGUUCUUACUGCUGUUGAGAUGGGAAAAAGGUUGAAGAAGCAUUUGAAUAGCCUCAAUGUGCCUAAGCAUUGGAUCCUUUACAAACUUGAACAGAUAUAGCAGCUUCUUACUCCUGGGUUUCUUUUUGCUAGUUGGCUUUGUUUCCACAAAUCACGAUUUUUUUUUAGCACCACAUGAUGAAAUCAAACCCCAUGUUAUACUAGAUAUAGCUGCUUCAAUGAAGAACAAAGAUGUCACGAAAGCUAUUCAGAAAGUUGCUGCUGCAUAUGACUGCAAGAUUGUUGAAGAUGUUCUUAGUCACCAACUAAAGCAAUUUGUGAUUGAUGGGAACAAGGUCAUACUGAGUGUAUCUAAUCCAGAGACCAGAGUUGACGAUGCAGAGUUUGAGGAGAAUGAAGUGUAUGCAAUUGUUAUAGUUGUCAGCAUGGGGGAGGGCAAGCCAAAACUAGUGGAUGAGAAGCAAACAACCAUUUAUAAAAGAGCCGAGGACAAAAGCUACAGUUUGAAGAUGAAAGCAUCUAGGUUUAUCUUCAGUGAAAUAAGCCAGAAAUUUCCGAUCAUGCCAUUUUCGGCAAGGGCUUUGGAGGAGAAGCGGGCACGACUGGGUUUGGUUGAAUGUAUGAACCAUGAGCUUUACUGUUCGAAGAGACGUAUUACAGCAUACCUGAAGCUUGCUUAUGGAUCCUUGUACAGACCUUGAUAUUCUUCUUGGAUGUGCUGAAAAUUGCAAGCAAUAACUAGUUCUCUACAGCCUCUUGACAAAAGUGAAUCAGUUCCAAGUAUGUUCAAACCGAAAGUGCUUCACUUUUACUUACUCAAUUGAUAAUUUGUGAUAUCAUUUCGUUGUAGUACAUACUUAGUGGAGUUGCUUCUUUCUUACGGUUACAUAUGUCCAAUCUGAUGCUCAGCCUGAUUAUACUUGUUUCAGAAGAGUAUUCUGCUAUCUCUUUGUACACGAAGGUUUUCAGUUUGAUUUUGCAUUUGAUGGAUAGAUUUUGAGUGCCAGCAAUGUCCAAUAACCUCGUAUUGCAAUGGUUUCCUCUGGAUAUUGUGUUAUAUUAGGUUUUAAUGUAGCCUAUCUUUUCGUUCUAUCUCCUGCAGUUAAGUAGCUCUAAUCUUUUGGGACAAACAAGUGGUUCAUCAAGUCUUUCUACAAUUUCCAGCAGCUGGGAUGCAAUAAUAGGGUUCAAGUACUGAUCCAUCUCGUCGUCGUACUACUGAGGAGAGUCCAAUAGCGUUCCGUAGGAUUACAGAUAUGCAAAGAAAGUGGUGUACUGAAAUUCGUCAUGGAAAUUGGUGUGUAGGUAUAACACCAAUUACACCUUGCAUGAACCUGCCCUAUUGCUUUUUGUUUUCGGAUCUCUGUAGUCUGAUUUACUUUAGUUAUAUAUAUUGUUUUUUUGAAUUUCCAUAUGUUAUUUGGUUUCUUCAAAGAGUUUCCCCUACUAUGAGCAUCAAAAGGAAAACUAAUUACGAGACUAUCCCAAAGUGUGACAUAACAAUUGCCAAUGACUUGUAAGUAUUUCUGAUUUCACACAUUAUUUAUAUAAGAAGUCGAUUUUAAUUGCAGAAACAAAACUGUUGUAACUUCUUUAUGGAACGAUCUUGCCACCAUUACGGGGCCAGAAUUGUUGGAUGUUGUUGAAAAAACUGUAGAAUGUUAGGUAGUACUUUAUUCCUAUUGUUUACUGCUUGCGUCAUGAAGUUUCACUUUGUAUGUAAGGGAAAAUUUCAUGGAGAUGCAUCAAAUCUGUUUUAAUUCCACCUAUUGUAGCUUCACAUUGUAUGGCUUGUAUGUUGUUCACUUCCUCUUCGAGUGUCUAAUAGAAGCUACAAUUGAAUGUGAAGAUAUUUGACCUAGUUAUAUCAGAUUAGAUUACUUGAGUUCUUCUUAUGUGAGUGAUAAUAUAUAAUAUGACAAAGAAUACGACUAUGAUAAUUCUUUUAUAUUUAUGUUAUUACUGAAGAGGUCUUAUUUGUCGAUGCGUAAAGCUCAUUGUGCAUCACUAAUGGAGUUUCUGUGCUUAGGGCCUGCAAUGAUAUACUGAGACUCGUCAUGGAAAGUGGUGGCAAGGGUUGCGAGGUUGUUUCCUUAACUGCAGAGUAAGGUGUCAUGUGCUUCGUUGAGAGUCUCUAACAUUUGGGGCUCACACAACAGUGAGAGGCAUGGUAGUCUCAAGGACUAUUUGGUAAUGAGAAUCCAAGGAAGAAAUCAAGAAGCAGAGUUCGUUAAAGUGAGGGGUUGUUAGCUGGUGGGAUAUUUUCCAUCGUUCCGAAGAUGUAUGCUAUUUUUUGUUCACUUUUCCCUUAGUAUAUUGAACUGCUGUUAGUUCCAGUCAUGGUGUUGUUGGUUUUGCUCAUGUAAUGAAGACUUUAUUGUCGUUUAAUAUCCGUGAUAUAGCAUCGAUAUGUCUCUGGUAUAUUGAUACUUAUAAUCUGGGAAAAAUUUCUUUUUAUUCAGAUUUUUCUAGUAUAUUUAUUUAUUUGGAAAUUUUGGUUUAUUUUGGGACUGA